rnacentral:lncRNA from 1 species
NCAAACCCACUCACUUUAGCCCUCCUGUUCCUGAACUGAUUCCCCUGUCUGAAGCGCUUCCCUUGAUGGGGAUCGCUUUUUGGUGUGUUUGGGCUGCGUACGCUACCACAGAACCUCCUGAGAUGGCGGUGCUCGCUCCAGGUCCUCCAGAGGUGGCAGCUGAGGCUGCAGAACCUCCCGAGGCGGCGGCGCUCACUUCAGCUCCUGGUAUGGUCGUGGUGCCCAGCAAUACACUUUCAGCCUGUCAUGUCACGGUCGAAAGAACCGUAGAUGAAUGCUGUACCUGUCCUGUUAAGGAGGAUGUUAAUGAACUCUACCCCUUUCAGAAGGCCGUUUUCGAACCCUCAGUCUGUCUUGUUACGGCUAAGGAGGCCGUCUGUGAACCAUUGCUCUGUCCCAACCUAGCUGCAGAGACUGUCUAUGAACUUUCAUCCUGUACCGACCCAGCCGAAGAAGCUGUCUCUGAACUCUCAGCCUUCUCUGUCAUACCAGAGGAUGCUGUCUGUGAACUUCCUGACUGUUCUGUAGCGGCUACAAGAGCCGUUCAGGAACUCUCAUCCCUGCCUAUCACGGCCAUAGAAACCUUAAAUGAACUUUCUGUAUGCCCUGUUAACUCUAUUAUUGCCAAAGAGACCUCUAGUGAACAGUAUGUCUAUCCCACUUCAGUCAAUGAGUUUAAUUUUGAUCUAUCUGUCUGUCCUGUCUCAACGAAUGAGUCUGACUGUGAAUUGUCUGCCAGUUUACUCACUGAAAUGUCUGCCAGUCUAGUUUCAGUCGAUGACCUUGAGUUUAAACUGUCUGCCUGUCUUGUUUUACCCCGGGUAUCUGAUUUUGAAUCAUCUAUCUUGCCAAUCCAAGUCUGUAAGCCUGUUUAUGAACUGUCUUCCGGCCCAGUUUCAGUCAAUGAGCCUGAUGUUAAAUCACCUGUCUGUUCAGAUCCCACUGACAGUUCUGAUAUCAUACUAUGCCUGCCCAGUAUCAGUUUAUGAAUUGUUUGUUAGUCCAUUUUCAGUCAAUACAUCCAGUUUUACACUGUCUGCCUGUCUUAGUUCUGCUCUCGAAUCUAACUGUGAACGGUCAACCCACUCAGUUUUUGCCCAUGCCCCCAACUUUGAACUGUCUGUCUGUCCAUGUCCCGUCUGCUCCGCCCUGGUGGGUUCCUGCUCUGUCUGCUCCUCCGUGGUGGUCUUCUGCUCCGUCU